CGUAUGCCGAGCUUGCGAACUGCGAACUUGUGUGACUCCCGGUUCAUCCUCUUUGUUCGGGUCAUUGGGUUGGUGUUGGAGUUGGUCACCAUAUUCUGAACGUUUCACCUAUCGUUGCGGUGUACUGUUCUUGAUCUGCUGCGAAGCGACGAACCGCAACGGCAGUCACUCGCCUCAGCGAACUUCUGUCUGCUGCAUCUCAGGAGCAUGGGGACCUGAUGAUACCUUCAACUAAAAAAACCAAAUGUGCUCUCGUGUGGUCCUGACGGAAAAGUAGUAUCAACAAGGCUAUGCCGCUCCGAAGCAUUGAGAUGACGAAGCGUCGUGGUAGCUGCACCUCUGCCUUCGAAAGAUGAAUCAGUCAUUCCACACUGUGCUUACUGGCUUUGUAUAGAGUCUGGCAAAUCCGACAGACUUGGACUGCCUUUUUCAAGAAAGUUUGAAAUAGCAUCCCUUAUGCACCUGCAUUUCAAUUCUAAUCUGUAUUGCAAGAAUGACAGACCACUCAACAGAGAUGAACAUCUGAAAGUGAAAGAGCUGGAAUGAAGAUACGUUAAUCUGUGUCAAAGGUUCUUAGUAUGUGUGCGAGUCGAGGACAUAGGUCUCAAGCUUGUUCCUGUCUUCAGAAGAGGUGACAACUAUGCUCCUUCUAUCUAUUAACCAGCUCCACUUUUUAGGGUUCCCUGUAAACUAAUGGCGCACAUCAUGUACUACCACGUUGUCAACCAAGUUCAUUCUGUCAAUUUCUUUUUUUAAAUUCCAGCAUGACUUUAGAAAAGGGUAUUCAGGCAAAACUAACGUAGUGGAAUUCGUUCACAGCAUUUCAAACUGUCUUGAUUUCUUGGUCCACGUAGAUGUAGUAUUCUUUUUAUUUUGUAAGGGCUUUUGACACUGUGCUCUACGCUCGCGUGUUGGCCAAAGUAGCCUAAUUAAAAUUUGAUCCAUCUACCUGGAUAUGCAGUUUCUCAACUAACCGUAACUGUGGCGACAACUCGUGAGGAGAACCUAUCAUAUCGCCACCAUGCAGCAUUUGUUAUAUUACAAUCGCUUCACAUUUUAAUCUAGUCAAAAGCAAGGCCUUUUGGUGAUCGGUCUUGUAUAAUUCCGUGCCCCUCCGUUAUGUAACACCACACUGGG